AGAACAAAUUCAUGGUGAUCUGAUCCUAAGGUCUGCCUGAGGCUGUGCUAUACAUGGGACCCAAACAAGAUACUGAUGGCUCUAAUCCCUUUUUUUUGCUCCCCUCAUCCUCAGCAUUGACCUGGGCUGGCUUCCCAGACUGAGCUUCAUCCCCAGGAGGGUUACUCCACAAGCUCCCGUAGCCUUAAUCAACAUAAACCUUCAGCCCAGCAGCCAGGUGCCACAGUAUGGUUCGUUUACAAGAUACACACUGGGAGCAUUCUGUUUUCUCUUUCUUAUAUGAUUGCCAUUAUUAUAAUGGUCCAGAAGGUCUGAGAAUUUUAUUAUCCCUUUGGAACUGGGCUGAACUGCAAAGCAACAUGAAUUGAGCUGGUUGAAAACUGGAAUUUUCAUUCCACGGGA